GAACGGGUGAGUACACGUGGGUGAUCUGCCCUGCACUUUGGGAUAAGCCUGGGAAACUGGGUCUAAUACCGAAUAGGACCACGCGCUUCAUGGUGUGUGGUGGAAAGCUUUUNCNNNGUGGGAUGGGCCCGCGGCCUAUCAGCUUGUUGGUGGGGUAAUGGCCUACCAAGGCGACGACGGGUAGCCGGCCUGAGAGGGUGACCGGCCACACUGGGACUGAGAUACGGCCCAGACUCCUACGGGAGGCAGCAGUGGGGAAUAUUGCACAAUGGGCGCAAGCCUGAUGCAGCGACGCCGCGUGAGGGAUGACGGCCUUCGGGUUGUAAACCUCUUUCAAUAGGGACGAAGCGCAAGUGACGGUACCUAUAGAAGAAGCACCGGCCAACUACGUGCCAGCAGCCGCGGUAAUACGUAGGGUGCGAGCGUUGUCCGGAAUUACUGGGCGUAAAGAGCUCGUAGGUGGUUUGUCGCGUUGUCCGUGAAAACUCACAGCUUAACUGUGGGCGUGCGGGCGAUACGGGCAGACUAGAGUACUGCAGGGGAGACUGGAAUUCCUGGUGUAGCGGUGGAAUGCGCAGAUAUCAGGAGGAACACCGGUGGCGAAGGCGGGUCUCUGGGCAGUAACUGACGCUGAGGAGCGAAAGCGUGGGGAGCGAACAGGAUUAGAUACCCUGGUAGUCCACGCCGUANACGGUGGGUACUAGGUGUGGGUUCCUUCCUUGGGAUCCGUGCCGUAGCUAACGCAUUAAGUACCCCGCCUGGGGAGUACGGCCGCAAGGCUAAAACUCAAANNNAUUGA
rnacentral:rRNA from 1 species